AGCAGUCACCGAAUGGGUUGUGGAAAUCCCAAAUCAUUGCGCACUCAGGUGUAGAAAAAAGUAGCAAAGCAUUGGACUUGUAUUCAAGACUAAGAGAUGAUCGAGCGUGGAUAGGCCAAUAAAGACUAUUAGCAAUAGGUUUAAUUUUGUUCUCUUGACCCUCGACAAAUUGCGGAGUGGUUUAGUAUGAGCGGUGGUCUACUCUCAUUUUGGUUACAUAGCCACAACGACUAAAUGAAGUGUCAUAACUCUGAUGUUUGCAUUUUGCACCUGGAACAGCUGAGAAUAGCUGUAUUGUCAGCAAAGGUAGAUAUUACUAGUCGUCUGCUUUUUGGGAUGUCUGAUGUGUAGAGGACAUCUAGCGUUGGUCCAAGUACGCUGCCUUGGAAAAUUCCAGCUCGAUGUAACGCAUCGGCGAGCGAGCAGAGGCGGGUCACGACGAGCAUCCCGACACACAGGGAGGAGUCAGCGGUCGUCGAGUCAACGUGUCGACAAGCGUGGACCAGCAACAUUAGUAGCCAGUGGAACCAGCGUGAGGAGAUACCGAAACCA